GAAUCUAUGAAUUUUACAGCUUUUAGCGACACAAUGAUCCAGCCGGGAAGGGGGGAGGUCCAGUCCUCCUGUUUUGGCGGGAGGAGGACGCCGUGAGAAGAGUUGAUCAAGAUAUGAGGACCUUCCUCAAAACCAGUGUUUUUAACCAGGUUCACUGCAACAAAAGUUAUAGAUAUGGAAUAAAUUAAGCCAGUGGGCCUUGGAGGGAAAAGCUCCUUGAUGGCAACGGCAUCCAAAAGAGGGCCGCAGGCAGGAUCUUCUUGCAUGCCAGGGUUGUAGAAACUGAGAUUGACAGAAUUGGAGUAGGCCCUAAAUCCCCAAGCAUAGGUGUCGCCGCCGUUGCUGCUGUAGAGCGUCUGCAAUGGGAGGUCUCCCGUUUGGCCCGGCACCGACACCCUCAGCACCUCAUCUUGUGCGCAGGUUCUUGACGCACCGAAUGUGAGUGCAUAGAGCGACCCGUUCCUCACGCGGACCGUCUGGGAUAUGGAUGCCCCACUGCCGAGGCGAAUGGCAUGGACGCCGUGCGCCACAGCGUAGUACAUCCCUCCGGGCUGAGGGCCGCCGGAGAUGUACUCCACCGUUCCGUUGAUUUCCCAUUUGGGCAGUGCGUUCUUACCUCGGAGCACUGUUUCGUUUAUGUUUUGGGCAUAUGGUUGUUCUUCAAAAUUCCCAUUGGGUAGGAGCCCUGGUGGAAAUGAUGUUAUAGUGCAUUAGUCAGUAUUAAGUUAUUAACUAGAAAAGAAAUGUAUAGGCCCAAAUCUAUCGCUCUCUCUUGAAUCAGAAUGUUAAUGUUAACUACCGACAAAAAAAAAACUAAACAAGCAGAAAUGGUAGUUAUACCUUCCAAAGGAGGAGUAGGUGGUGCAAUGGCUGAAACAGCACAGACAAAGUACACAGAGAGCAGAAAACAUAUCUUCAUAGCCAUUUGUGUGUGUGUGUAAGUGUGUGAUGUGUGUUUUGUUGUUUAAGAGGGAGGAGGUUCUUAGAUGAAGGUAAUGAUGAGCAUUAGAGCAUCAUUGCUAGCUAUAUUUAUAUAGCAUAAUGUGCGUGUGUGUGAGAGAGGGACAAGAAGAAGAAGAAGUGCAGGUGGAUAACUCCCUUUGUCUUUUUGUCCUAAACACUUUCUUUAUCUUGAUAUUAGGACAUCAGCUUUCUCCUUAAUCCAUAGAAUCAUUCCAUUCAUGUUAUCACGUGUCUUUAAAUUUUUAAAAUAUUUUGCUUUCUUUGAUGAAUUGAACAGUCGG